rnacentral:tRNA from 1 species
UGCAUCGGCCGGGAAUCGAACCCGGGCCGCCACGUGGCAGGCAAGCAUUCUACCACUGAACCACCGAUGG